GAUGAACGCUGGCGGCGUGCCUAAUACAUGCAAGUCGAGCGAACGGACGAGAAGCUUGCUUCUCUGAUGUUAGCGGCGGACGGGUGAGUAACACGUGGAUAACCUACCUAUAAGACUGGGAUAACUUCGGGAAACCGGAGCUAAUACCGGAUAAUAUUUUGAACCGCAUGGUUCAAAAGUGAAAGACGGUCUUGCUGUCACUUAUAGAUGGAUCCGCGCUGCAUUAGCUAGUUGGUAAGGUAACGGCUUACCAAGGCAACGAUGCAUAGCCGACCGGAGAGGGUGAUCGGCCACACUGGAACGGAGACACGGUCCAGACUCCUACGGGACGCAGCAGUAGGGAAUCUUCCGCAAUGGGCGAAAGCCUGACGGAGCAACGCCGCGUGAGUGAUGAAGGUCUUCGGAUCGUAAAACUCUGUUAUUAGGGAAGAACAUAUGUGUAAGUAACUGUGCACAUCUUGACGGUACCUAAUCAGAAAGCCACGGCUAACUACGUG
rnacentral:rRNA from 1 species